rnacentral:sRNA from 1 species
ACCUAAACCCGAUCAAAGCGAGAUGCCGAUAUUUCAUCGGCAAAAGCGGGAGCGGGACUGCUC